rnacentral:lncRNA from 1 species
UGUGUCUUUAUUUUUGUCUGUUUAGAUUUGCCAGUGUUGAUCUCACAAACACCACUGUGGGCUUCUGCUGCUCUACAGCACAAAGCUUUGCUAGAAAUCCAGCAAGGCUGAGACCUGUUCCCUGUUACUUUGAUGUGGCUAUUGGACAGUUCCCAUUCCAUCACCCACCUCUGCCUCGAUCAGAUGGUCACUAGUGAUGAGCAUGAGGCUGAUGCUCAGCAGGACUCCAGCCCAGAGCUGUGUAUCACUGCAGACUCAGAGCCAGAGCACCAGCUGCGAUACCUGGAAAGAGAAAAGCUCUUUCUCUUCAAGCAUCCUCUCCUUGGACUUGCUACUCCCCCCAGAUCAGUUGGAUUUUGGGUGCAGGGGCAGCUGGAGGAAAGCAAAGCAGCAUGUCCAGCACUGCCCUUCUACCCCUGCUGCCCUCUGACAGCCCAGCAAGAGCUGCUUCUGCCUGAGGAUCUGGAGAGGAUUCACUGGACAGCACAGACUGAGAAUCAGUGCAGUGGAGGGGGAUUAACAGUCCCUUGGAUCCACACUUUCACUUCAGCUUUAGUGAUAAAUUUCUAG